rnacentral:rRNA from 1 species
CGAGUUAUCUGAACCUUCGGGGAACGAUAACGGCGUCGAGCGGCGGACGGGUGAGUAAUGCCUAGGAAAUUGCCCUGAUGUGGGGGAUAACCAUUGGAAACGAUGGCUAAUACCGCAUGAUGCCUACGGGCCAAAGAGGGGGACCUUCGGGCCUCUCGCGUCAGGAUAUGCCUAGGUGGGAUUAGCUAGUUGGUGAGGUAAGGGCUCACCAAGGCGACGAUCCCUAGCUGGUCUGAGAGGAUGAUCAGCCACACUGGAACUGAGACACGGUCCAGACUCCUACGGGAGGCAGCAGUGGGGAAUAUUGCACAAUGGGCGCAAGCCUGAUGCAGCCAUGCCGCGUGUGUGAAGAAGGCCUUCGGGUUGUAAAGCACUUUCAGUCGUGAGGAAGGUGGUGUAGUUAAUAGCUGCAUUAUUUGACGUUAGCGACAGAAGAAGCACCGGCUAACUCCGUGCCAGCAGCCGCGGUAAUACGGAGGGUGCGAGCGUUAAUCGGAAUUACUGGGCGUAAAGCGCAUGCAGGUGGUUUGUUAAGUCAGAUGUGAAAGCCCGGGGCUCAACCUCGGAAUAGCAUUUGAAACUGGCAGACUAGAGUACUGUAGAGGGGGGUAGAAUUUCAGGUGUAGCGGUGAAAUGCGUA